CUCCCAGUGUGUGUGUGUAUGGAGGGGACCUGUGUUUUUCACUGGAAUCCUGUCUUUCUCUGGCUGGCCUGCCACGUCAAAUGACAGUCUGGAGCCCCGUGUCCUCAGGGAGCUGUGUGGCCGAACAGCCUGGCUGUGGUCUCUAGUCUGGGGUUAUGGACAGGAACAGGACUGGCUCUUACUGAGGUCUGAGGAGGACAACACUGAUCUCAACUGAACUGGAGUAGCCAUUGAGGAGAUACUACUGCUCUGGAGGAAUCUUAUGGGAUACCCUGCCUCUUGAAUCCUGUGGAAUCCUCCCAGUGCUUUUUUUUAGUCUGUUUUAUUUUGAUUUACUGUGAACCGUUGGUUGGUUGGUUUGGCCUGGAUAUGAAUGGAUUUCUGUACAGGGGCAGGCACUAUGCUGGUGAUCGGCAGGCCCGGACCAAGAGUAUAGGACACAUGACUGAUUUCUUGUGUAAUGAGACAGAGAACGGCCCUCCUCCUCCUCUCCAGAGCCACAGCCUCAGACAGUUUGAACAGGUAAGGGCUUGUCUUCCUCUCUCCUGUUCUUAUGGUCUGGUACAGUGUGGUAGUCAGUGAAACGAGGUGUUCGGGCCUGUCAAAAUUGUUUGAUAAUGUGUUUUUAGGUGUGUUGGUGAUGAUUAUGUGGUAACUGAACCUCUGACUAUGAGUCGAGAAGACUAUGGGUAAAAAGAUUCCGGUCUCCUGUAGCUUCCCCCAAUCCCUAUC